rnacentral:rRNA from 1 species
AUAUUAAUAAGCGGAGGAAAAGAAACUAACAAGGAUUCCCCUAGUAACGGCGAGUGAAGCGGGAAGAGCUCAACUUGAAAAUCGGCGUGCCAAGCGGCACUGUCGAGUUGUAGUCUAAAGAUGGCCUAUCAGCGAGUGACCCCGGUAUAAGUCCCUUGGAAUAGGGUAUCAUAGAGGGUGAGAAUCCCGUCUUUGACUGGGAGUUUGCCGCGUACGAUAGGUUGUCUACGAGUCGAGUUGUUUGGGAUUGCAACUCUAAAUGGGAGGUAAAUUUCUUCUAAAGCUAAAUAUCAGCGAGAGACCGAUAGCGCACAAGUA